rnacentral:rRNA from 1 species
AAUAGAUACCCAGGUAGUCCACGCCGUAAACGAUGAGUGCUAAGUGUUAGGGGGUUUCCGCCCCUUAGUGCUGCAGCUAACGCAUUAAGCACUCCGCCUGGGGAGUACGGCCGCAAGGCUGAAACUCAAAGGAAUUGACGGGGGCCCGCACAAGCGGUGGAGCAUGUGGUUUAAUUCGAAGCAACGCGAAGAACCUUACCAGGUCUUGACAUCCUCUGACAACCCUAGAGAUAGGGCGUUCCCCUUCGGGGGACAGAGUGACAGGUGGUGCAUGGUUGUCGUCAGCUCGUGUCGUGAGAUGUUGGGUUAAGUCCCGCAACGAGCGCAACCCUUGAUCUUAGUUGCCAGCAUUCAGUUGGGCACUCUAAGGUGACUGCCGGUGACAAACCGGAGGAAGGUGGGGAUGACGUCAAAUCAUCAUGCCCCUUAUGACCUGGGCUACACACGUGCUACAAUGGAUGGUACAAAGGGCUGCCAAACCGGCGAGGUUGAGCGAAUCCCAUAAAACCAUUCUCAGUUCGGAUUGCAGGCUGA